rnacentral:lncRNA from 1 species
UGACAAUUCAGGCUCAUUCCUGAGAUACAAGUUGCUAUUUUUGAAAAGUUCUCUUGCCUGGUAUCUCGCCCCAGGGGCCCUUGGCCUGCUUCAUCUGGUAUCUCAAUUGGCAGAACACAACGCAGCCCUCUGGAUUGGAUUAUAUGUGUCUAAUCUGCAAGCUGGGCUGUUCACAAACCUCCCCUGCCUCCCUCCAACCGCACCCCACCCCCUUGCUCAAAACAGUGCCCAGUGGCUGAUGGUUGGCCCCGUGGCAGGGAGGUCUGCAGAAAGAGGAGCCCACAGGGCAAGCCUGGCUGGUUUUCCAGCCUCUUGCAAUGCAAAUUCGCUGAGAGCAGGACCUGACCCCAUUCCUUCACUUCUGCAGUGAUGCUCUCCUCCGCCAGCACCGGGUGCGGGGUCCUCAGCAGGCAGCAGAAGGGUCCCUCCUCCCCGCCUUUGUGGUUUACAUUCCCACGGUGGAUUAGAUCUGAUUCCAACAAGCUCAUGCUUAGGAGCAUGAAGAGGAAGUGCCAACCCUCACCGUUUCACCAAGAAAACCAGAGAUUCCUUGUUUUCUGAAUAAAACACGGGUAUGUCUCAGAUACUCAAGUGCCGUUUUUUGUUUGUUUUCCUAGAACAGUAAGAACUAAGAAUAACAUGAAAAGAGACAAGCUUGUUUUGUUUGUUCCUGGGCCAUGUUCCCAGGACAGCCUGCCAGGUGUGUCAUUUGGAGACAAUAUUUACCAGGGGGAAUUUAGGUCUAUGAGUCUGAGAUGACACUGCCCAAGGUCAAGGGUCCCUGGACCCCAGGCCUUACCCCCUCCUGUUUUCCCUGCACCCCACGACCACAAAGCAUCAGCCCCAGAGACACAGGCAGAGGCGGGAAGUCCAGCUCAGAGAUUGCAGUUCAGGGCAGAGAAGGCACAAACCACAAGUUCAUCUUGUGACCACCAGGCAGAAAGAGGUGACCUGGAGUUUCUACCCACUUCCUCCAAUUUCCAAGCCUCUGUUUCAAAUAGACUGGGAAGUUCUGGGGGUUUGGGGAGGACCAGACUUUGAGCUGAAAUGGUUACAAAUGAGAGGACAUGAAUCUCUGUGUAGCUGAGGGUGGUGGGUGUGCCCAUUGCCACGUGGGGGCCAAGCUGAGCCCCAACAGGAUGCUCGCAUAUCAUCUACACCUUGACCUGUGCUCCCAUUUGUGACUCGGCCAGUGGACAGUAUGUCACUGAUGGCCUAGUGGGCAAGCCAGGCCGGGUGCCACGGGGGAG